UACGAAGGGGGCUAGCGUUGUUCGGAUUUACUGGGCGUAAAGGGCGCGCAGGCGGCUUUGUUUGUCAGGCGUGAAAGCCCCGGGCUUAACCUGGGAACUGCGCUUGAGACGGCGAGGCUAGAGAUCGGGAGAGGAGAGUGGAAUUCCCAGUGUAGAGGUGAAAUUCGUAGAUAUUGGGAAGAACACCGGUGGCGAAGGCGGCUCUCUGGACCGACACUGACGCUGAGGCGCGAAAGCGUGGGGAGCAAACAGG
rnacentral:rRNA from 1 species